AACUCUGCACCGAUACAGUGGAAGUCCAUGGUUCAACGUCCACAUGCAUGGUGAAUCCUUUUGACUACCCCAUAGUUCUCAGAGCUCUCAGGAUGUGAGAGCAAGUUGGUGGAACUGAAAUAUAGCAGCUCGCUUUGGACCCCAGGCACACUCCAAACAUCUGUUGCCACAGAGGUCCCGUCCUUGUUCCAAAAGGAAGAUCCUCAGAACCUCCCUCUUUGUAGCAAGCAACUGUGACUUCACAGAUGGAAUUAUGUGCACACAUUGGGCACAGCUAGAACAACUCUGUGGGCUGUUUGUUUAUGUCCGGAUGGUUAGAGGAUUUUCUUAAGGUUUGUGAAAACAUGAAAAAAAUCGUUGUGUGCCUAAUGAAAACAUCCUGUAUUUUCUUUCCAGAUUGUUUUUUUUUGUCAUCAAAGCAACAAAUAUUCCCAUACCUUGUAAAACAAAAGCAAACAGAAACACGGCUGAGAACCAUAGUCAUUUGACCCAGUCUCUCACGUGGUUGGCAGGUAAAACUAGCAGUUGUGCCAUGACAACCACUCUUUCAUGGAAUGAACCGUCUAUAAGAUGGUUGGAGAAGAUUGCAUAACAUUAUACACUGGAUUAUACAGUGCAGAGAGUAAAACAACACUAUGAUUGUGAAAUCUAGAAACAUUACUGGUCUUACAGUCCUUAACAGUCCCACUCCCUUUCUAAAUUGCUAUGAUACAGCUGAUAUAGAGACCUGCUGAUUGUUGCUGGAUUUACUCCCUCGAAAGCUCCUUUCAUGACUAUUAUGGUACACUAAAGGCCACAUGAGAUCAUAUUUUAUUCACAACCACUUUGCAUUCGUCAAAGGGUUUCAGUAAAACAGAGCAGGCUUUCUAAAAACUGACAAUCCUUCCAGAUCUGAGGAAAGGCUUGAAACAUGAUGAUUGCACAGAAAUAUGACAUGUCACUUGAUAACCUAAUUUUCUUUCAACAUUAUGACAAAUUAGCUUACACUUUGUAAUCCACUCCUACCUCUAAAAAGAAUAAAAAUGAUUUUGUCCCCUCA